AGAGUUUGAUCCUGGCUCAGGACGAACGCUAGCGGCGCGCUUAACACAUGCAAGUCGAACGCUUGGAGCAAUCCAGGCGUGGCGAACGGGUGAGUAACGCGUAGUCAACCUGCCCUCGAGUGGGGGACAAGCCUGGGAAACUGGGUCUAAUACCGCAUGCGGUCUUUGGGACUAUGUUCUGGAGAUCAAAGCCGAAAGGCGCUCGAGGAUGGGACUGCGUCCUAUUAGCUUGUUGGCGGGGUAACGGCCCACCAAGGCGACGAUGGGUAGCUGGUCUGAGAGGACGACCAGCCACACUGGGACUGAGACACGGACCAGACUCCUACGGGAGGCAGCAGUGAGGAAUAUUGGUCAAUGGUCGCAAGACUGAACCAGCCAUGCCGCGUGCAGGAUGAAGGUUCUAUGAAUUGUAAACUGCUUUUCUAAGGGAAGAAACCUAUCCUCGUGAGGGUAGUUGCCGGUACUUUAGGAAUAAGCAUCGGCUAACUCCGUGCCAGCAGCCGCGGUAAUACGGAGGAUGCGAGCGUUAUCCGGAUUCAUUGGGUUUAAAGGGUGCGUAGGCGGAUCAUUAAGUCAGUGGUGAAAUCUUUCGGCUUAACUGGAAAAUUGCCAUUGAUACUGAUGAUCCUGAAUGCAGUUGAGGUAGGCGGAAUGUGUAAUGUAGCGGUGAAAUGCUUAGAUAUUACACAGAACACCGAUUGCGAAGGCAGCUUGCUAAACUGUGAUUGACGCUGAUGCACGAAAGCGUGGGGAUCAAACAGGAUUAGAUACCCUGGUAGUC
rnacentral:rRNA from 1 species